rnacentral:rRNA from 1 species
UACGGGGGGGGCAAGCGUUGUUCGGAAUUACUGGGCGUAAAGGGCUCGUAGGUGGCCAACUAAGUCAGACGUGAAAUCCCUCGGCUUAACCGAGGAACUGCCGUCCAAACUGCUUUGCUUGAGACCGGGAGAGGUGAGUGGAAUUCCCAGUGUAGCGGUGAAAUGCGUAGAUAUUGGGAGGAACACCAGUGGCGAAGGCGGCUCACUGGACCGGUACUGACGCUGAUGCGCGAAAGCGUGGGGAGCAAACGGG